UACGUAGGUGGCAAGCGUUAUCCGGAAUUAUUGGGCGUAAAGAGCGCGCAGGUGGUUGAUUAAGUCUGAUGUGAAAGCCCACGGCUUAACCGUGGAGGGUCAUUGGAAACUGGUCGACUUGAGUGCAGAAGAGGGAAGUGGAAUUCCAUGUGUAGCGGUGAAAUGCGUAGAGAUAUGGAGGAACACCGAUUGCGAAGGCAGCUCGCUGGACAACACGUGACACUGAGGCGCGAAAGUGUGGGGAGCAAACCGGAUUAGA
rnacentral:rRNA from 1 species